UGCAAGUCGAACGGUGAAGCCCCUUCGGGGGUGGAUCAGUGGCGAACGGGUGAGUAACACGUGAGCAACCUGCCCCCUACUUCGGGAUAAGCCUUGGAAACGGGGUCUAAUACCGGAUAUGAACACUUGCCGCAUGGUGGGUGUUGGAAAGUUUUUCGGUGGGGGAUGGGCUCGCGGCCUAUCAGCUUGUUGGUGGGGUAAUGGCCUACCAAGGCGUCGACGGGUAGCCGGCCUGAGAGGGCGACCGGCCACACUGGGACUGAGACACGGCCCAGACUCCUACGGGAGGCAGCAGUGGGGAAUAUUGCACAAUGGGCGAAAGCCUGAUGCAGCGACGCCACGUGAGGGAUGACGGCCUUCGGGUUGUAAACCUCUUUCAGCAGGGAAGAAGCGAGAGUGACGGUACCUGCAGAAGAAGCGCCGGCUAACUACGUGCCAGCAGCCGCGGUAAUACGUAGGGCGCAAGCGUUGUCCGGAAUUAUUGGGCGUAAAGAGCUCGUAGGCGGUCUGUCGCGUCUGGUGUGAAAUCCCAUGGCUCAACUGUGGGCUUGCAUCGGGUACGGGCAGACUAGAGUGCUGUAGGGGAGACUGGAAUUCCUGGUGUAGCGGUGGAAUGCGCAGAUAUCAGGAGGAACACCGAUGGCGAAGGCAGGUCUCUGGGCAGUUACUGACGCUGAG
rnacentral:rRNA from 1 species